AUCGAUGAUAUAUGAAGGAGAAAUGUAAAAAACCAGAUCGGUUUUUUAUUUUUUUUUUGUUGUUGUUUGUUUUUAUAAAAUGAACAUUGAAAUUUUAAAGACAAGAUAUUGAACGGAAGUAGACUACAAACGUCAAAAUAAGCAAUUAGCUGAUGACCUGCUUACUCAUUCUUUUCAGUGCCUUUCUGCACGCUGCUCCAAUGGCGGAAGGCGGAGAUCUUUUGAGCCACAGGGAAUUGUGCCGUAUCCACUUACCUCCUUGCGGCGGCUUACCUGUCGUCGGUGUUUUCGCAACGAAAGAUUUUCACAGUUUAUUUGGAACGAAGAAAAUAACUACAGCCAUCCGGCUAUGGUAGGAUGUUAACCUUGCAAGAAAGAGACGCCAGCGCCGGAAUUGCGCAAUAGCCAUGCGGGGAAAGAUGACCUGGAUAAAGAAGAAAAUGAAUACCCUCGGGUCACUCUCGUUACCGAACAGCCGACGGCCGUUGUCCGCAGGCAGAAAAGUAGCAACAAACUUGCCUCUACAAAAUUCGUUGCUGCACAAAGCUGCCCUACGACAAUUUCACGUGGCCAAACUAACUGGGUUUUCUACUCGGUCGGAACGCAUUGCUACCUACGUUUUUAUACGGCCGCAAGUGAGAAGGCAUCCGAAUUCAGUUCCACUUUUUCGACCUGGAGUCGUCACCGUCGGGUAUAAUUUUAUUAGGAUCUUUUAUUGAUUUGGAUCUGAUUGCCAUUGUUCAAAUGGAUUUAUCUACUAAGGGGACGGCGGAUUUAUUUCCUGUCGGGCAUUUCGUUUGUACGUAUGUCCUUCCAAUUUGAUUUGAUUUACGUGCCCCCAUUAGCGAAAUUUCACAACAGAAAUAAAUGAAAUAUC